CGUGACAAUUACUUCAUUUCUUUUUAAUUUUUGUUUUGGUCAUGGACAAUAUUUCCUCUACUGUUCUCCUUUCCUUCUUAACUAAGAUUAUUUCAUUAAAAAAUUUAUGAUUUUUUUUCAGUUGUUGAGACGUCUGCUCUGUUCUUGAAUUAUUAUUCGAAGUAUAAAUUAAGUCAGUAUACCAUUUUAUCAAAUAAAAGUAAGUCUUUAAAUUUCUUAAAAGGUUGUCAAUUGCAUCCUGACUAUAAAACGCAAAACUAUUCUAUUCAAAUUUCUGUCAAUUUAAGUCACAUAAUUUGCAUAUGGUACAUUUUGGAGGAUAGAUUGACAGCUUUUAAGGAGUUUAAAGACUUGUCACCUUGUAUUACGGUCUAGUGGUAUUCUUUUUCACUUGUAAGUAAGAUAUCUUAUGUUCAAUUCUUGUCAAAUGUGAAUUUGAACUAUAUUAUUAUUAGCUCAUUGUGAGUCUUAAUCCACUCCCCCACCCUCUUACUGUAAAUACUAUCGUUUGUAAAAAAAUAAAAUGAAAGAGUUUAAAGGCUUAUUUUUCUAGACAAGAAUAACAUAUGUGGUUAACUUUGAAAGAUAAAUUGCUAAUUAGAUUCACAAUCUAUAUGCAAUUUUAAGUGCUUCUUUGCAAGAAAAUGAUAGUAUUAUUCUUUAAAAUGUGUCACGCGCAAGCUACGUGACUUAAUUAACAAAAAAUUGAGAUUUUUUCAUCAAAAAGAAAAUCUCUAACCUCUAGGUCAAUCAAUUCAUCGAAAAGAAAAUCAACAGUUUCGAUUAUAACAUUUCUACACGUUAAUGGUAAAUCAGAACUUCCUGCUUAAAACGAAAAAGUGUAAUUUAAAAAAAAUAAAGCCCAGCCGGUCUGAUGACGACACGUGAUGAGAUGCGAGUGGCCCAGGGCCCAUGGCCUCAACCAAUAGUAAUACCUAUUUGGUUUGGCUGCCUGACUGACGGGUGCGGACAUCACAAGUCUCCCGACCAGUUUUUCUCCCAAUCCUGAAUCUUGACUGGUAAGAAACCCUCAAAAUCCUGGAGAAUAAUUGGUGACACCGAGCCCCUCAGCUCAAACAAGAAAAUACAAGAUUCUCCUAAAAGGAAUUUUAGUCUGUUGAGCUGAGAUGUGUAACUAUCAAGCUUGGGAAGACGAUUCUCUGCAGGGUGAAGAUUAUGCACAGAGCACCGCAGAUGGCGUAGAUGUUGGGGAGACAAGGUGGGGAGCACGGCUGGCAAUGUUGGAAGCGCGGAUAGCUCGAGUGGAGGCUAGGGUGGAAAGACUGGAGGCAAAGAUGCUCUAUCU